AGUCAGAGCCCGUUAAUGGGUGAUGGCGUGCCUUUUGUAGAAUGAACCGGCGAGUUACGAUUUGAUGCAAGGUUAAGCAGUAAAUGUGGAGCCGUAGCGAAAGCGAGUCUGAAUAGGGCGUUUAGUAUUUGGUCGUAGACCCGAAACCAGGUGAUCUACCCUUGGUCAGGUUGAAGUUCAGGUAACACUGAAUGGAGGACCGAACCGACUUACGUUGAAAAGUGAGCGGAUGAACUGAGGGUAGCGGAGAAAUUCCAAUCGAACCUGGAGAUAGCUGGUUCUCUCCGAAAUAGCUUUAGGGCUAGCCUCAAGUGAUGAUUAUUGGAGGUAGAGCACUGUUUGGACGAGGGGCCCCUCUCGGGUUACCGAAUUCAGACAAACUCCGAAUGCCAAUUAAUUUAACUUGGGAGUCAGAACAUGGGUGAUAAGGUCCGUGUUCGAAAGGGAAACAGCCCAGACCACCAGCUAAGGUCCCAAAAUAUAUGUUAAGUGGAAAAGGAUGUGGCGUUGCCCAGACAACUAGGAUGUUGGCUUAGAAGCAGCCAUCAUUUAAAGAGUGCGUAAUAGCUCACUAGUCGAGUGACACUGCGCCGAAAAUGUACCGGGGCUAAACAUAUUACCGAAGCUGUGGAUUGUCCUUUGGACAAUGGUAGGAGAGCGUUCUAAGGGCGUUGAAGCAUGAUCGUAAGGACAUGUGGAGCGCUUAGAAGUGAGAAUGCCGGUGUGAGUAGCGAAAGACGGGUGAGAAUCCCGUCCACCGAUUGACUAAGGUUUCCAGAGGAAGGCUCGUCCGCUCUGGGUUAGUCGGGUCCUAAGCUGAGGCCGACAGGCGUAGGCGAUGGAUAACAGGUUGAUAUUCCUGUACCACCUAUAAUCGUUUUAAUCGAUGGGGGGACGCAGUAGGAUAGGCGAAGCGUGCGAUUGGAUUGCACGUCUAAGCAGUAAGGCUGAGUAUUAGGCAAAUCCGGUACUCGUUAAGGCUGAGC
rnacentral:rRNA from 1 species